UGGGGAAUUUUGGACAAUGGGCGAAAGCCUGAUCCAGCAAUGCCGCGUGUGUGAAGAAGGCCUUCGGGUUGUAAAGCACUUUUGUCCGGAAAGAAAUCCUCUGGGUUAAUACCUCGGGGGGAUGACGGUACCGGAAGAAUAAGCACCGGCUAACUACGUGCCAGCAGCCGCGGUAAUACGUAGGGUGCAAGCGUUAAUCGGAAUUACUGGGCGUAAAGCGUGCGCAGGCGGUUUUGUAAGACGGAUGUGAAAUCCCCGGGCUUAACCUGGGAACUGCAUUCGUGACUGCAAGGCUAGAGUAUGGCAGAGGGGGGUAGAAUUCCACGUGUAGCAGUGAAAUGCGUAGAGAUGUGGAGGAAUACCGAUGGCGAAGGCAGCCCCCUGGGCCAAUACUGACGCUCAUGCACGAAAGCGUGGGGAGCAAACAGGAUUAGAUACCCUGGUAGUCCACGCCCUAAAACGAUGUCAACUAGUUGUUGGGGAUUCAUUUCCUUAGUAACGUAGCUAACGCGUGAAGUUGACCGCCUGGGGAGUACGGUCGCAAGAUUAAAACUCAAAUGAAUUGACGGGGUCAUAGCUGUUU
rnacentral:rRNA from 1 species